CCUACGGGUGGCACCAGCGGGGAAUAUUGGACAAUGGGCGAAAGCCUGAUCCAGCAAUGCCGCGUGUGUGAAGAAGGUCUUCGGGUUGUAAAGCACUUUCAGUAGGGAGGAAGGUAGUGUAGUUAACACCUGCACUAUUUGACGUUACCUACAGAAGAAGCACCGGCUAACUCCGUGCCAGCAGCCGCGGUAAUACGGAGGGUGCGAGCGUUAAUCGGAAUUACUGGGCGUAAAGCGCAUGCAGGCGGCCUGUUAAGUCAGAUGUGAAAGCCCGGGGCUUAACCUCGGAAUUGCAUUUGAAACUGGCAAGCUUGAGUCUCGUAGAGGGGGGUAGAAUUCCAGGUGUAGCGGUGAAAUGCGUAGAGAUCUGGAGGAAUACCGGUGGCGAAGGCGGCCCCCUGGACGAAGACUGACGCUCAGGUGCGAAAGCGUGGGGAGCAAACAGGAUUAGAUACCCCCGUAGUC
rnacentral:rRNA from 1 species